UACGUAGGGUGCAAGCGUUAAUCGGAAUUACUGGGCGUAAAGCGUGCGCAGGCGGUUUUGUAAGUCUGUUGUGAAAUCCCCGGGCUCAACCUGGGAAUGGCAAUGGAGACUGCAAGGCUAGAGUUUGGCAGAGGGGGGUAGAAUUCCACGUGUAGCAGUGAAAUGCGUAGAUAUGUGGAGGAACACCGAUGGCGAAGGCAGCCCCCCUGGGUCAAAACUGACGCUCAUGCACGAAAGCGUGGGGAGCAAACAGG
rnacentral:rRNA from 1 species